rnacentral:rRNA from 1 species
GGCGGAGGAUACAAGCGUUAUCCGGAAUGAUUAGGCGUAAAGCGGCCGCAGGUGGCUGUUCAAGUCUGCUGUCAAAGACCGGGGCUUAACCCUAGAAAGGUAGUGGAAACUGAACGGCUGGAGUGCAGUAGGGGUAGAGGGAAUUCCCAGUGUAGCGGUGAAAUGCGUAGAGAUUGGGAAGAACCCCGGUGGCGAAAGCGCUCUGCUGGACUGCAACUGACACUGAGGGACGAAAGCUAGGGGAGCGAAUGGG